GCUGAACUUAAGCAUAUCAAUAAGCGGAGGAAAAGAAACCAACAGGGAUUGCCCUAGUAACGGCGAGUGAAGCGGCAACAGCUCAAAUUUGAAAUCUGGCGCAAGCCCGAGUUGUAAUUUGUAGAGGAUGCUUCUGGGUAGCGGCCGGUCUAAGUUCCUUGGAACAGGACGUCAUAGAGGGUGAGAAUCCCGUAUGUGACUGGCUUGCACCCUCCACGUAGCUCCUUCGACGAGUCGAGUUGUUUGGGAAUGCAGCUCUAAAUGGGAGGUAAAUUUCUUCUAAAGCUAAAUACCGGCCAGAGACCGAUAGCGCACAAGUAGAGUGAUCGAAAGAUGAAAAGCACUUUGGAAAGAGAGUUAAAAAGCACGUGAAAUUGUUGAAAGGGAAGCGCCCGCAACCAGACUUUGCGGCAGUGUUCGGCCGGUCUUCUGACCGGUUUACUCGCUGUCGUGAGGCCAUCAUCGUCUGGGACCGCUGGAUAAGACCUUAGGAAUGUGGCUCCCCUCGGGGAGUGUUAUAGCCUCUGGUGAUGCAGCGCGUCUCGGGCGAGGUCCGCGCUCCGGCAAGGAUGAUGGCGUAAUGGUUGUCGGCGGCCCGUCUUGAAACACGGACCAAGGAGUCUAACAUCUAUGCGAGUGUUCGGGUGUCAAACCCCUACGCGUAAUGAAAGUGAACGGAGGUGGGAACUUUUUGUGCACCAUCGACCGAUCCUGAUGUCCUCGGAUGGAUUUGAGUAAGAGCAUAGCUGUUGGGACCCGAAAGAUGGUGAACUAUGCCUGAAUAGGGUGAAGCCAGAGGAAACUCUGGUGGAGGCUCGCAGCGGUUCUGACGUGCAAAUCGAUCGUCAAAUUUGGGUAUAGGGGCGAAAGACUAAUCGAACCAUCUAGUAGCUGGUUCCUGCC
rnacentral:rRNA from 1 species